AGAGUUUGAUCAUGGCUCAGAUUAAACGCUGGCGGCAUGCCUUACACAUGCAAGUCGAACGGCAGCACGGGAGCAAUCCUGGUGGCGAGUGGCGAACGGGUGAGUAAUACAUCGGAACGUGUCCUGUAGUGGGGGAUAGCCCGGCGAAAGCCGGAUUAAUACCGCAUACGCUCUACGGAGGAAAGGGGGGGAUCGCAAGACCUCUCGCUACAGGGGCGGCCGAUGGCAGAUUAGCUAGUUGGUGGGGUAAAGGCCUACCAAGGCGACGAUCUGUAGCUGGUCUGAGAGGACGACCAGCCACACUGGGACUGAGACACGGCCCAGACUCCUACGGGAGGCAGCAGUGGGGAAUUUUGGACAAUGGGCGCAAGCCUGAUCCAGCAAUGCCGCGUGUGUGAAGAAGGCCUUCGGGUUGUAAAGCACUUUUGUCCGGAAAGAAAUCCUUUGGGCUAAUACCCUGAGGGGAUGACGGUACCGGAAGAAUAAGCACCGGCUAACUACGUGCCAGCAGCCGCGGUAAUACGUAGGGUGCAAGCGUUAAUCGGAAUUACUGGGCGUAAAGCGUGCGCAGGCGGUCCGCUAAGACAGAUGUGAAAUCCCCGGGCUUAACCUGGGAACUGCAUUUGUGACUGGCGGGCUAGAGUAUGGCAGAGGGGGGUAGAAUUCCACGUAGCAGUGAAAUGCGUAGAGAUGUGGAGGAAUACCGAUGGCGAAGGCACCCCUGGGCCAAUCUGACGCUCAUGCACGAAAGCGUGGGGAGCAAACAGGAUUAGAUACCCCCGUAGUCC
rnacentral:rRNA from 1 species